AGCAGCCGCGGUAAUUCCAGCUCCAAUAGCGUAUAUUAAAGUUGUUGCAGUUAAAAAGCUCGUAGUUGAAUUUCGGGAUCAAUACGUCGGUCGUGCUUCGGUACGUACUGGCGUAAUUGAUUUCUCCCUUCUGACGAACCAUGAUGUCAUUAACUUGGUGUCAUGGGAAAUCAGGACUGUUACUUUGAAAAAAUUAGAGUGUUUAAAGCAGGCUCACGCUUGAAUACAUUAGCAUGGAAUAAUGAAAUAGGACGUUCGAUCCUAUUUUGUUGGUUUUUAGGAUCAACGUAAUGAUUAAUAGGGAUAGUUGGGGGCAUUAGUAUUCAAUUGUCAGAGGUGAAAUUCUUGGAUUUAUUGAAGACUAACUACUGCGAAAGCAUUUGCCAAGGAUGUUUUCAUUAAUCAAGAACGAAAGUUAGGGGAUCGAAGACGAUCAGAUACCGUCGUAGUCUUAACCA
rnacentral:misc_RNA from 1 species